rfam:[Eubacterium rectale] ATCC 33656 chromosome, complete genome.
UAUGGAGAUAUUUAGAGUCUGUUGGAAUUAUGUCACAACACAGCAAUGUCCGUGCAUGGACGCACGGACGGCGCUAAAAGCCGGUUGCGUCCUAUAGCCAAAACCUAAAUCAUAAUUCCUACAGAGUCUUAAUAUCGAAAUAC